CUUUCACCAUCAAUGCGGGAAUAUAUCAAUAAUUCAAUGCCCCCACUUUAAUACUGCCAAGACAUUUCCACCUCCAGGCUCCAGCCUUUACUACACUAUUCCCCAAUAGUCCAGAAAAAACAUUCACUAGUGGAUGAAUUAGGCUCUAAAGCCACAUUGAAUACUUUAUGCCAUCUCUCCCUCGUGUCAUUUAAAAUUGGGUAAUAGUCGUCUCUUGGGGCACAGCUCAACUGGUGGAUCAAUCAACAUUUGUCUUGCUUCCAGCAGCAGGGUGGAGGUUCGAAUCUUGGGGUGGAGGUUCGAAUCUUGGUGGGAACCUGCGGUCAGAUUUAUUUGGUAUGAAGCAAUCACUUUGGAGGAGGAUCUCUUGUGCGCAGAAGUGUACAGGCGGUGGGGGGAACCAGUGAUCCAAUUGAG
rnacentral:lncRNA from 1 species